CUUCCAGUACAAUCACUCCGCACCAAAAGAGUAGCCAUCCUGGCGACCUAAGGAUAGGAAAACACAGGAGCGUCAUGACACUGCUUGAGCCGGGAGACGUGGACAAUUUCCUGGCCGUGACAACGCUGGUCAGGAGGCGCUUCCAUUGGCUCGGAGUCGUGGGUGCUGGGACUGCGAUCAAAAUUUAGAAACAUGAGAAAGAAGACAAAACAUCCUUCCGAGGAAAUGGGGGCGAUAAACGCAAAAGCCACCACACAGCCACAAAGGUGCUCCCGUCAAAUGCGACCAACAAAAAGUUGUGCCGUCUGUUUUGUAUUUUCCAGAACCACCAUUGCGACAGUCACCGUCACCAUUUGGCCGAUCGUGGGAGCCAAAAAAACACGCUGCUGCUCUCUGCAUUUUCUUCCAUGGUGAAGUGCUGAAAUCGUGGAAAUCCCAUGGAGUCCAACUGUCAACCGAUUCCAAUAAAAAAUAAUUGUUCUCCCCUUCA